UUCCAGCUUUGCCUUCUUUCCUCCUCACAAUCUCAUCUGAAUACUUCACUCCCUUACCCUUGUACGGCUCCGGAGGCCUCCACUUCCUCACCGUCGCAGCAAACUGCCCUAUCUCACUCUUGUCGUAUCCACUCACCGUGAUCCUCGUGUUCUCUUCCACUUUCACCUUGAGACUCUCCGGUAUCUGCAUCUUAACCGGGUGAGAAAACCCGAGGUUCAGAACCAGUUCCUUCCCUUCCACGGUUGCACGGUAACCAACUCCCACUAGUAUCAGCUUCUUCUCAAACCCCUUUGAUACUCCCACUACCAUGUUAUCCGUUAGCGUCCUAUAACACAAGAGGUUACGAAAGGGUUAGCAGCAAUAAACAACCCCUAAAGUUCAAGACUUUGUGUAACCAAUUGAUAAAAAGUUGAGAACUUUGUAACCUCAAAAGUUCUAAGACUUUUGUUUGUGACCAAUUGAUAUAGUAAAGGUGAGAGCUUUGUUAACCUGAAGAGGCCGUGCAUUUGGUUAGCUCUUCUAGUUUCGACGGUCUUUUUGACCCUCAAGAAACCAGCAUCUUCUUUGAUGAGCUCAACUUCGCGUGGGUAAGUUAAAGCAAGCUCUCCUAGUGGACCUUUGACUUUCAAGUCUUGACCUUCCAAUGCAAUGGUUACAUUGGUUGGUACAGCGAUAGGUUGCUUCCCUAUCCUUGAUUCCUUACACUGGAUAGUCUUCCUUGAGUAACCCACUUGAGCUGAAGGCGUGGCUGAGACCUUGAACACGUUCCUAUCUCCCAAAAAUGCUGACCUAAAAAAGCAUCUCAUAUCUUCAGACAAACAAACAAAAACAUGUCUACACAGUUAAAGAACCAACAGACAGGAACUAACCAAAUAUGUCAAUAGAAAUUUAAAAUUAAGUUUUGCGAAUCCUGAAUUAAAAACAAAAAAAAAACAAAUCACCAACCAAGUUCACAUUCGUAUCGAUUUCGAAAUAGAAAACUAAAAUAUGAUUCUUUACACUCUAGGGGACUCGUGAUUAUGAAAUUAAAGAAAGCUGAACGCUAAUGGAAUUAUCGACGGUGAUGCUCCCAACUCCACCGAGGACGAGAUUCUUCAACGCCUCGGAGCCAGUGGGGCCGCAAUUGAGCAAACAGAUACUCGCUUCUUCCAAAGCAGCUUGCCCUACCUCCCCCCAUAUCCUGCGAUUCGAUGCGAUUACUUACGUAGAGCGAUAGAAUUAUAAAGAGAGAAGAGAAGGGCGGCGUAUACCUGAGUUGACGAUCGUACUUGGUUUUAGCCUCUGACAUUGUUGUUGCUUACUCUCUUCUCUCGUUCGCUUCUUCGCAGACGAAAGAGCGAGAGAGAACAAGAGGCGGCUCUUGGGCCAAGCUAAUGGGCUUCCUGCCGAUUCAUUUAAUAACUAUUUUCGGCCCAAAACUAAUGUAUCCAUAGCCGUACAGAUUGUGGGCUUCUCUUCCAGUCAACUCAGGUUCGAAUCUCCUUGGAAUCAUUUAUCCUUCUUCUUUUCUUUUUCUUUCUUUCAAAAACAGCCUAUUUCAGGACCCGACUCUGCAACGAGAGAUUUGGGUCUGUGACCAUUCGGAAAAUAAAAGGAACGAAUAUAAAAGGAAUGUACGGAAAUAAAAUAGCAGGAUGAAAAGGAACGAUUGUUCCUUCUCAAAUUUAACAAGAAAUAAUUUUCUUCUUUUAAUUCUCUACAAAAAAAAUAAUCGUCUAUUUAAUCUUUUUCAUAUCAUAAUUGUAAUAUCAUAAUAAAUCAGCGUUAAAAAAAAAGAAAUGAAAAGAAAUUAUUAUUCCUGGUGAAUGGUGAUUUAUUUUUACGAACAUUAGAGAAUGCAUUAUUCAUUGUCGUUCCUUGGUCACCAUUCAUAUCGUUAAACAAUUUUUAACUAAUUUGCAAAUAGUUUCUCCUUUUUUACUAACAUUUUUUCUCAAAGAUUUACUUUUUUUAAUAACCUUUUUUUCACUCAGUAGUUUGCAAGCAUUGAAUCAUGGAGAGAAUAGUUUCACAAUUUUAGUUUUUUUUUCUAAAAAAAAAGAUUUGAGCAAAUACACAUUUCAACAUAGAAAGGAGAACAUGUAAAGUAAAAUACACAACAACAACAAGAAGAAGACACAAAGAUCACUUCUUCUUUCCAGCUUUGCCUUCUUUCCUCCUCACAAUCUCAUCUGAAUACUUCACUCCCUUACCCUUGUACGGCUCCGGAGGCCUCCACUUCCUCACCGUCGCAGCAAACUGCCCUAUCUCACUCUUGUCGUAUCCACUCACCGUGAUCCUCGUGUUCUCUUCCACUUUCACCUUGAGACUCUCCGGUAUCUGCAUCUUAACCGGGUGAGAAAACCCGAGGUUCAGAACCAGUUCCUUCCCUUCCACGGUUGCACGGUAACCAACUCCCACUAGUAUCAGCUUCUUCUCAAACCCCUUUGAUACUCCCACUACCAUGUUAUCCGUUAGCGUCCUAUAACACAAGAGGUUACGAAAGGGUUAGCAGCAAUAAACAACCCCUAAAGUUCAAGACUUUGUGUAACCAAUUGAUAAAAAGUUG
rnacentral:lncRNA from 1 species